rnacentral:rRNA from 1 species
CCUACGUGUGACAGCAGUGGGGGGUAUUGCACAAUGGGAGAAACCCUGAUGCAGCGACGCCGCGUGUAGGAAGACGGUCCUCUGGAUUGUAAACUACUGUCCCCAGGGACGAAGAUGACGGUACCUGGGGAGGAAGCUCCGGCUAACUACGUGCCAGCAGCCGCGGUAAUACGUAGGGAGCGAGCGUUGUCCGGAAUUACUGGGUGUAAAGGGAGCGUAGGCGGGGAUGCAAGUUGGGUGUUAAAUCUACCGGCUCAACUGGUAGUCGCACUCAAAACUGCAGCUCUUGAGUGAAGUAGAGGCAGGCGGAAUUCCUAGUGUAGCGGUGAAAUGCGUAGAUAUUAGGAGGAACACCAGUGGCGAAGGCGGCCUGCUGGGCUUUUACUGACGCUCAGGCUCGAAAGUGUGGGGAGCAAACAGGAUUAGAUACCCCGGUAGUC